GAAACGGACCAACAAAUCAAGAGGAAGAAGCUGUUGUGGUUUAAAAUUUGUAGCGCAGAGUUGGAUUGCGAGUUCAAGUGGCCUACAAGAUAUUUGAGUGUGUCCAUGUAAAAUGAGCAGUCUAGCAGUUUUAAUAUGUAACCAUCAAGCGUGAUUGUGUCAUGAACACCUACCUCAUUUGAAGAGUGUGUACAUCUACCUCAAUGAAGACUUGUAAAAGAAUAUGUGGACUGAAAGUGCAUUGGCUGAAUCUCAAAAUGCACACACAGCAGUGGAGAUCUUUAUUGUUUGGUCUGAGGAUGCUGGUCCUGGGGAUAUAUAUAUAUAUAUAUAUAUAUAUAUAUAUAUAUAUAUAUAUAUAUAUAUAUAUAUAUAUAUAUAUAUAUAUAUAGCUUUUAUUAAUAAAAGCUUUGUUAAAUUA
rnacentral:lncRNA from 1 species